CCAGAAAAACGGGACUGUGUAGUGUUCGCUAGAGACGGAUACAGCAGAAAGCUACUCAGUACCAGGAGAAUCCGAGUAUAAUUUCAUGACUUUAAGCUGGUGACAAUGAGCUAUCAUAUUUUCCUGCAAGUCUAAUACUAAAUUGCAAAUUUAUUCUCGUUAAUACGUAUCAAAUCAGCAAGAACUAAUGUAUUUUAUUCAGCAAAGAAAUUGCCCACAAAAUAGCACCACAAAGCCCUUCGCUCACCUGCUGUUUUCAUUACAGCCUCAUUUUCAUUAAAUCCCCACAAGUGAAGACUCUCUUGUCACACGUCUUGGGCAAUACAGCCAGGCAUCUACGCUUUACUUCGACGGGCUCUUUUUCCCCUCAAGAUGGGAGGGAAGUGCCAAAUUCCUCAUUCUUUCUUAUUCAAGUGAUUACAUGAACCACUAAAAGCCUUAUUCUUUGCUUCAAAAUAGUUUUUACUGUUACGAAGAGUUUGAUAUGCAAGUGCUGACUCUUCCUAGUUACACCCAAUCAAAAUGUAACUUAGUCCAAGUUCUGCAGUUUUUGUUCCUGAAUGAAAACGCGAAGCAGGACAAGGACUACAAAACCGGUUUGUGACAGCGAAUGAUUUGGUCGUCAAUAUGUUAAAUCGGGUAGAAGACUAAAUUAACUAUCAACAGGGCUAGUGAUUUGAAGUGCUCCGAAGAAAAAGAGUACUUUUUCCACUGGACUGUUUUACUUGCCGAGUUCACUGUGGAAUGCUUCAAUGGCUCCAUAUGAGAAGUUAGCUACGAUUGGCUCAGCAUUUUUACAUGGCCCUUCGUAAUGCCAUCAGGAGGGAAGCAACAGUUUCAAAACAAGCACUUUGAAAGACAACAACAG